AGCCGGUUUGGUAAAUUUGUGGGUAAAUCAACCAGCUUAACUGGUUGAAUUCCGGGGAGACUGCUAAACUUGGGACCGGGAGAGGUUGGGGGGACUUGGGGGGUAGGGGUAAAAUGCUGGAAUCCUGAAGGGACCACCCGUUGCGAAGGCGUCUAAUCGUAACGGAUCCGACGGGGAGGAACGAAACCCUGGGGCACAAACCGGAUUAAAUACCCCGGUAGUCCUGGGGGUAAACGCUGGUGACUUGGUGUUGGGGAUCCUACGAGGGUCCCCCGUGCUGGAGCGAAAGUGUUAAGUCCCCCGCCUGGGGAGUACGGUCGCAAGGCUGAAACUUAAAGGAAUUGGC
rnacentral:rRNA from 1 species